AAAUACACUGUUGAUGUGGCCUCAAGCCUGAUACUACAUAAAUACACUGUUGAGAUGGCCUACACCCUGAUACUACUUAACCCUUUCGCCCCGACUGCCCGAUUUAUCGGGCAGCAUAAACCGUGUCCCAGUACCCGGCUGCCCGAAAAAUCGGGUGGCUAUUGUCCAAGCCCCACACACGGCUGCCCGAUAAAUCGGGCGGCGCGACCGUGUUUACAAAAUCGCUCUUUCAACUUCCUUUCUCGUGUGUAAUCUCGUUCUAAAUAUGGAAACGAGAUCUACACGUGAUUGACACGUCAUUCGAUGGAAUUUCCCAGUCUUUUUGGCGCGAAAAUCGCGAAUGUCACCUGUUUUCGCGACAGGUAUUUUUCUCGCUUGAAUCGUAAAUCUAGCGUAAUGGCGGCCAACUACGAUUCGGAUAGCGAUCAGAUGACUAACAACGACUCUAUCGGGAAUAAUAAUGUGUUUGAUUUGAAUAAUUUACGUGAAGGGGAGAGGGAAUUUCGUGAAGAUUUUGGUGAAGAUUUUGACGGUUUCGACGAGGUGUCCCCCCCCCCCGCCAACUUUCAAGAAUGGGAGUGGCAGAGGGACCACAACGGUGGAGACAUGAGGGAUUUUGAAGAGGCGACCGGACUCAAGAAUAUAUAUUGACACGGUGAGUGAAAUAUCGUGCUAUUGAUUUUUUCCAACUGUUUUACAAUGAUUCUGUGUUUGAACAGAUUAUCAGUGCGACGAAUGAGAAUGCAGCCUACAGGUGAACGAGCGAUCACAACAACAACAAAGAUCAAUCUGUGAUAUCUUCUCUGUGAUGUCAUUCUUAUAGGAGCUGUGGUUCAAUGUUCAGAUGUGCAUGAAGAGAAUUUACCUGUAACACCUGGGAUUACCUGUGCCGUGCAUGAUGACAAGACCACUGUGUUAUGUUUACCUUGUAUCUGUGAUUUAUUUUUGUGAUUUGUAAUACAAUUUGAGCCAAAA